rnacentral:rRNA from 1 species
GACGAACGCUGGCGGCGUGCUUAACACAUGCAAGUCGAACGGAAAGGCCCUGCUCUUGUGGCGUGCUCGAGUGGCGAACGGGUGAGUAACACGUGAGUAACCUGCCCUUGACUUUGGGAUAACUUCAGGAAACUGGGGCUAAUACCGGAUAGGAUCUCCUGCUGCAUGGUGGGGGUUGGAAAGUUUCGGCGGUUGGGGAUGGACUCGCGGCUUAUCAGCUUGUUGGUGGGGUUGUGGCUUACCAAGGCUUUGACGGGUAGCCGGCCUGAGAGGGAGACCGGGCCCAGUGGGACUGAGAAAGCGGCAGGAGGGCAUCGGGAGGAAGGAGUGGGGAAUAUUGGAAAAAGGGCGGAAGGAGUGAUGAGGAACGCCGGGUGGGGGAAGACGGCUUUCGGGUAGGAAACAGUUUUCGCCUGACAAGAAGCGUGAGUGACGGUAAUGGGCAAAGAAGCACCGGCUAACUACGU